rnacentral:rRNA from 1 species
UACAGAGGGUGCAAGCGUUAAUCGGAAUUACUGGGCGUAAAGCGCGUGUAGGCGGCUUAUUGCGUCGCUCGUGAAAUCCCUGGGCUUAACCUGGGAAUGGCGGGCGAUACGGAUAGGCUUGAGUCGGGCAGAGGGUGGCGGAAUUUCCGGUGUAGCGGUGAAAUGCGUAGAUAUCGGAAAGAACACCAAUGGCGAAGGCAGCCACCUGGGCCCAAACUGACGCUGAGGCGCGAAAGCGUGGGGAGCAAACAGG